UUGGAGGGCAAGUCUGGUGCCAGCAGCCGCGGUAAUUCCAGCUCCAAUAGCGUAUAUUAAAGUUGUUGCAGUUAAAAAGCUCGUAGUUGAAUUUCGGGGUUAGUAGGUUGGUCAUGCCUCUGGUAUGUACUGAUCUCACUGAUUCCUCCUUCCUGAUGAGCCGUAAUGCCAUUAAUUUGGUGUUGCGGGGAAUCUGGACUGUUACUUUGAAAAAAUUAGAGUGUUUAAAGCAAGCUAACGCUUGAAUACAUUAGCAUGGAAUAAUGAAAUAGGACGUUCGAUCCUAUUUUGUUGGUUUCUAGGAUUGACGUAAUGAUUAAUAGGGAUAGUUGGGGGCAUUAGUAUUCAAUUGUCAGAGGUGAAAUUCUUGGAUUUAUUGAAGACUAACUACUGCGAAAGCAUUUGCCAAGGAUGUUUUCAUUAAUCAAGAACGAAAGUUAGGGGAUCGAAGACGAUCAGAUACCGUCGUAGUCUUAACCAUAAACUAUGCCGACUAGGGAUCGGAUGAUGUUAAUUUUUUAAUGACCCAUUCGGCGCCUUACGGGAAAC
rnacentral:rRNA from 1 species